CUGUCGUCAGCUCGUGUCGUGAGAUGUUGGGUUAAGUCCCGCAACGAGCGCAACCCUCAUCCUUAGUUACCAUCAGGUAAUGCUGGGGACUUUAAGGAAACUGCCAGUGAUAAACUGGAGGAAGGUGGGGAUGAUGUCAAGUCAUCAUGGCCCUUAUGGAGUGGGCUACACACGUGCUACAAUGGUGGCUACAAUGGGCUGCAAAGUCGCGAGGCUAAGCUAAUCCCUUAAAAGCCAUCUCAGUUCGGAUUGUACUCUGCAACUCGAGUGCAUGAAGUUGGAAUCGCUAGUAAUCGUGGAUCAGCACGCCACAGGUGAAUACGUUACUCGG
rnacentral:rRNA from 1 species